CGUUGUAUUAAUAUUUUAUGUAUUUUUUUUUCCUUGUCGCAUAGUCUUGUUGUGACGUAAUUUAUCAGCUCUUAUUUUGAGAGCAUUUUCGUCAUAUUGUAAUUGAUAGACAAGUUGUACUUUUUUUUGUGGUCCUGAAUGAUUCAUGUCUUUUUUACUACUGGCCAGCCUGAGCAAACUGCCUUGGAUUUUAGCCUAUUAAUUCUUGUUAGGACUAUUUGACCCCUGUUUAGGCCCUGUUUUGAAUACAACUAGAUCAACAACUUCUGAAACUCCAAUAAUACUACCUGCAAGUGCUGCUGAAAGAAAAAUAACCCUAACAGCCUUUAAAUUUACUACAUAGAUUCUAAUGCUGACAACAUCAUUUAGAUCUAGAUGCUGCCUGAAGAUUUCAUGUCUGUGGCAUUUUACUUCUCGAGAAAAGAUCUUUUCUCUUUGCAACUUCUGGUGUGGCUAGAGAGGCCAAUCCUUGAUACACAGCUGUAGUCACAGGUUGAGCACAUGUAAUCACCAGGCACCAUUGCAUUGUCACCUUUCUUCCUGCUGCUGUUGUGUAUGGCAUCUGCAAUCCGAGACCCUUCCUUUAUGCUCUCUCUCCAUGUGGAUCUAUCCAGUGCCAACAAGAACCUGUGUGCAUCACACAUUGUAAAGGUGGAAAUUGAAAAAAAAAUAUUUUUAAGCUCUGUGCCAAAAAUGCUCCUAAUAUUCAAUGAUGAGCUCUGACCAGGAUAACAAUCACAGAUUGAAUUCAAUCACAAUUAAAUAAAAAAAAAGUUGUAAAUCUUAAUUAUAAAUUGAAAAUAUUGUCUAGAGCAAACAUUAAGUGGCACUUUUGGGUAAUGCUUCACAGACCAGACCAAUAAUUCUAUUGAAAAUGAAAGAACAUUUACUUUUUUUUUCAAUUUCUGAAGUCUUAUUUAAAAUGCUUUCUUUCAUCUGCUUUUUAAAUAAGCAAGCCUUGCUAAAUAUUUCUUUAAAUACAUGAUGACCCAAAUUGAUUUUUAUGGAUUUUUUCCUGUGUCAAUGACACAGUAGGCCUACAAGAUAAUAAGCCAACAAAUUGAAUUUGUAUAGAAAAAUUGUCUCUUUUUUGAAAAAAGCAACCUAUAAAUGGCAUUAUAAAACAAAUAUGACAACAUUUUUGGCUUGAGCCAUGAAUAUAAUAUGGUUAAACUAUGCCUAUAGAUUGGAGGACCAAUGGGAAUAUUUAAUCAAAAGAGACAAUAAAAUGAAGAGGUGGUCAGGUUAGCUACAAUGUUGCUCUUAUUUUAAGUAGAUAAAUGAAGCCAUUUUCUGAUGUGUAAAAAUAUUGAUUAAUGUAAGUACUAGAUCCACUGGUAUCUAAUAAAAAAGUUUCAGUUCAAUUUUAUUUUAUUACCUUUUAGAUCAUAUGACCCGUGACACAAGUGUUGGAAAUUAAAAUGGCCUGCAGGUUGAAUUAAGUUGAGCAUCACUUUUCUAGACUAACAUCAAUACAUCUGCUAUUAGAAAUUUUAACAAUUGUUUUUAUUUAGUGUAAUUUCAUGCUUUCUCAAGGUUAUGAUCCUAUCACUUGUCUGAACCAGUUAGAUAGGGGGUAUCUUAUGAAUGUUACCAUGGUUGCUUUUAAAAUGCUUUUAAUUAAAAAAAAUGUAUCAAGUACAAUUUCUUUCCCUAGUUUGAUACCAAACAAAAUAUUUAAUUUCCAAAAGUUUACAAAAUUGAUUCUUGAUUUCAGGUACAAUAAAUAAUUGUGCAAAGUUUCAACUUGAUCCAAGAUAGGGUGUGCAACAAAUAAGUGUGCAAACUUUUUAUCACAGUGAGUUGAUAUAAGCUUUAACAAAAAUAAACCAAUUUAUGAAGUUAGAUGUUUUAUUUUAUCUUGAGAUGUCAGUAAUGAUUAAUCAUUUUGUAAUUGAUAGAAUUAUCUUUAAAAAUGGUGUUAACCUAAGUGGCUUGUAAUUGUUUAUUAAAAGUAACCAAUGGUUCCAAUGUAGCUAUUUGUAACUUUAAAGAGAAGUCUUUAAGAAAAAUAAGAACCAUACAUUUUAUUGACAAUCUUAUGUGUUGUGUGUGUCUUGGAAAAUAUUUUGUGUAAUUGCUUUUCUUUAUUAUGGAUGUAAAAUUUAAUAUGAUGAUGUUUGUUAAACAUUAAUAGUUGAUAGUAUUCAAUUAAGCUUAAAAAUGUGACAAUGUGAACUAAUACAGUGAUGGUCAAUACUGUUGUUGUGUAUUCAAUAAUAAUUUAAUUGCUUUUAGUUAGUUACAAUGCUAUUAAUAUUAUAAGGCAUUUUUUUUAUAUUUUUUUUUUUAAUAUUAGAGAUAAUGGUAGGCCUUUAUUUGCUACAGUGUAGCAAAUAUACUGCACACUUAUAGUAUUCCUACUAGUAAAUUAUGUAAUUUGUUGAAUGCUAUUAAAGAGCUUCCAUAUAAAAUAUG